rnacentral:rRNA from 2 species
AUUGAACGCUGGGGGCAUGCCUUACACACACAAGUCGAACGGCAGCACGGGUGCUUGCACCUGGUGGCGAGUGGCGAACGGGUGAGUAAUACAUCGGAACAUGUCCAGUAGUGGGGGAUAGCCCGGCGAAAGCCGGAUUAAUACCGCAUACGAUCUUUGGAUGAAAGCGGGGGUUCUCAAGACCUCGCGCUAUUGGGGUGGCCGAUGGCGGAUCAGCUCAUUGGUGGGGUAAAGGCUUACCAAGCGACGAUCCGUAGCUGGUCUGAGAGGACGACCAGCCACACUGGGACUGAGACACGGCCCAGACUCCUACGGGAGGCAGCAGUGGGGAAUUUUGGACAAUGGGCGAAAGCCUGAUCCAGCAAUGCCGCGUGUGUGAAGAAGGCCUUCGGGUUGUAAAGCACUUUUGUCCGGAAAGAAAUCCUUUGGGCUAAUACCUCAG